UCCCUGGUGGUCCAGUGGUUCGGACUCUGCUCUUCUACUACAGGGGGAAUGGGUUCAAUCCCUGUUUGGGGAA
rnacentral:tRNA from 1 species